GUUAUAGGGUCAAGCGAACAAGUGCAUGUGGUGGAUGCCUUGGCGAUCACAGGCGAUGAAGGACGCGGUAGCCUGCGAAAAGCUACGGGGAGCUGGCAAACAAGCUUUGAUCCGUAGAUGUCCGAAUGGGGAAACCCACUCCGUAUGGAGUAUCCAUGGCUGAAUACAUAGGCCAUGCGAAGCGAACGCGGUGAACUGAAACAUCUAAGUAACCGCAGGAAAAGAAAUCAACCGAGAUUCCCAAAGUAGUGGCGAGCGAAAUGGGAUGAGCCUUGCACUCUUUAUUUGUAUUGUUAGCCGAACGCUCUGGAAAGUGCGGCCAUAGCAGGUGAUAGCCCUGUAGGCGAAAACAGUAUGAAAGAACUAGGUGUGCGACAAGUAGGGCGGGACACGUGAAAUCCUGUCUGAAGAUGGGGGGACCAUCCUCCAAGGCUAAAUACUCGUGAUCGACCGAUAGUGAACCAGUACCGUGAGGGAAAGGCGAAAAGAACCCCGGGAGGGGAGUGAAAUAGAUCCUGAAACCGCAUGCAUACAAACAGUCGGAGCCUCGUAAGGGGUGACGGCGUACCUUUUGUAUAAUGGGUCAGCGACUUACGUUCAGUAGCAAGCUUAACCGUAUAGGGCAGGCGUAGCGAAAGCGAGUCCGAAUAGGGCGUUCAGUUGCUGGGCGUAGACCCGAAACCAGGUGAUCUAUCCAUGGCCAGGAUGAAGGUGCGGUAACACGUACUGGAGGUCCGAACCCACUAACGUUGAAAAGUUAGGGGAUGAGCUGUGGAUAGGGGUGAAAGGCUAAACAAACCUGGAAAUAGCUGGUUCUCUCCGAAAACUAUUUAGGUAGUGCCUCGUGUCUCACCUUCGGGGGUAGAGCACUGUCAUGGUUGGGGGGUCUAUUGCAGAUUACCCCGCCAUAGCAAACUCCGAAUACCGAAGAGUGCAAUCACGGGAGACAGACAUCGGGUGCUAACGUCCGGUGUCAAGAGGGAAACAACCCAGACCGCCAGCUAAGGUCCCCAAAUAUGGCUAAGUGGGAAACGAAGUGGGAAGGCUAAAACAGUCAGGAGGUUGGCUUAGAAGCAGCCACCCUUUAAAGAAAGCGUAAUAGCUCACUGAUCGAGUCGUCCUGCGCGGAAGAUGUAACGGGGCUAAGCCAUAUACCGAAGCUGCGGAUGCGUGC
rnacentral:rRNA from 1 species